AACCGAGUCUUAACCGGGCGUUAAGUUGCAGGGUAUAGACCCGAAACCCGGUGAUCUAGCCAUGGGCAGGUUGAAGGUUGGGUAACACUAACUGGAGGACCGAACCGACUAAUGUUGAAAAAUUAGCGGAUGACCUGUGGCUGGGGGUGAAAGGCCAAUCAAACCGGGAGAUAGCUGGUUCUCCCCGAAAGCUAUUUAGGUAGCGCCUCGUGAAUUCAUCUCCGGGGGUAGAGCACUGUUUCGGCUAGGGGGCCAUCCCGGCUUACCAACCCGAUGCAAACUGCGAAUACCGGAGAAUGUUAUCACGGGAGACACACGGCGGGUGCUAACGUCCGUCGUGAAGAGGGAAACAACCCAGACCGCCAGCUAAGGUCCCAAAGUCAUGGUUAAGUGGGAAACGAUGUGGGAAGGCCCAGACAGCCAGGAUGUUGGCUUAGAAGCAGCCAUCAUUUAAAGAAAGCGUAAUAGCUCACUGGUCGAGUCGGCCUGCGCGGAAGAUGUAACGGGGCUAAACCAUGCACCGAAGCUGCGGCAGCGACGCUGAUGCGUUGUUGGGUAGGGGAGCGUUCUGUAAGCCUGCGAAGGUGUGUCGUGAGGCAUGCUGGAGGUAUCAGAAGUGCGAAUGCUGACAUAAGUAACGAUAAAGCGGGUGAAAAGCCCGCUCGCCGGAAGACCAAGGGUUCCUGUCCAACGUUAAUCGGGGCAGGGUGAGUCGACCCCUAAGGCGAGGCCGAAAGGCGUAGUCGAUGGGAAACGGGUUAAUAUUCCCGUACUUGGUGUUACUGCGAAGGGGGGACGGAGAAGGCUAUGUUGGCCGGGCGACGGUUGUCCCGGUUUAAGCGUGUAGGUGUGUGUUCCAGGUAAAUCCGGUUCACUUUAACACUGAGGCGUGAUGACGAGGCACUACGGUGCUGAAGCAACAAAUGCCCUGCUUCCAGGAAAAGCCUCUAAGCAUCAGGUAACAUCAAAUCGUACCCCAAACCGACACAGGUGGUCAGGUAGAGAAUACCAAGGCGCUUGAGAGAACUCGGGUGAAGGAACUAGGCAAAAUGGUGCCGUAACUUCGGGAGAAGGCACGCUGACACGUAGGUGAAGUGAUUUACUCAUGGAGCUGAAGUCAGUCGAAGAUACCAGCUGGCUGCAACUGUUUAUUAAAAACACAGCACUGUGCAAACACGAAAGUGGACGUAUACGGUGUGACGCCUGCCCGGUGCCGGAAGGUUAAUUGAUGGGGUCAGCGCAAGCGAAGCUCCUGAUCGAAGCCCCGGUAAACGGCGGCCGUAACUAUAACGGUCCUAAGGUAGCGAAAUUCCUUGUCGGGUAAGUUCCGACCUGCACGAAUGGCGUAAUGAUGGCCAGGCUGUCUCCACCCGAGACUCAGUGAAAUUGAACUCGCUGUGAAGAUGCAGUGUACCCGCGGCAAGACGGAAAGACCCCGUGAACCUUUACUAUAGCUUGACACUGAACAUUGAGCCUUGAUGUGUAGGAUAGGUGGGAGGCUUUGAAGUGUGGACGCCAGUCUGCAUGGAGCCGGCCUUGAAAUACCACCCUUUAAUGUUUGAUGUUCUAACGUGGACCCGUGAUCCGGGUUGCGGACAGUGUCUGGUGGGUAGUUUGACUGGGGCGGUCUCCUCCUAAAGAGUAACGGAGGAGCACGAAGGUUGGCUAAUCCUGGUCGGACAUCAGGAGGUUAGUGCAAUGGCAUAAGCCAGCUUGACUGCGAGCGUGACGGCGCGAGCAGGUGCGAAAGCAGGUCAUAGUGAUCCGGUGGUUCUGAAUGGAAGGGCCAUCGCUCAACGGAUAAAAGGUACUCCGGGGAUAACAGGCUGAUACCGCCCAAGAGUUCAUAUCGACGGCGGUGUUUGGCACCUCGAUGUCGGCUCAUCACAUCCUGGGGCUGAAGUAGGUCCCAAGGGUAUGGCUGUUCGCCAUUUAAAGUGGUACGCGAGCUGGGUUUAGAACGUCGUGAGACAGUUCGGUCCCUAUCUGCCGUGGGCGCUGGAGAACUGAGGGGGGCUGCUCCUAGUACGAGAGGACCGGAGUGGACGCAUCACUGGUGUUCGGGUUGUCAUGCCAAUGGCACUGCCCGGUAGCUAAAUGCGGAAGAGAUAAGUGCUGAAAGCAUCUAAGCACGAAACUUGCCCCGAGAUGAGUUCUCCCUGAGACUUAGAGUCUCCUGAAGGAACGUUGAAGACGACGACGUUGAUAGGCCGGGUGUGUAAGCGCAGCGAUGCGUUGAGCUAACCGGUACUAAUGAACCGUGAGGCUUAACCUUACAACGCCGAAG
rnacentral:rRNA from 1 species